rnacentral:rRNA from 1 species
UACAGAGGGUGCGAGCGUUAAUCGGAAUUACUGGGCGUAAAGGGCGCGUAGGCGGCCCUCUAAGUCAGACGUGAAAUCCCUCGGCUCAACCGGGGAACUGCGUCUGAGACUGGAAGGCUUGAAUUCGGGAGAGGGAUGUGGAAUUCCAGGUGUAGCGGUGAAAUGCGUAGAUAUCUGGAGGAACACCGGUGGCGAAGGCGGCAUCCUGGACCGAGAUUGACGCUGAUGCGCGAAAGCCAGGGGAGCAAACGGG